rnacentral:rRNA from 1 species
AUUGAACGCUGGCGGCAGGCCUAACACAUGCAAGUCGAGCGGAUGAAGGGAGCUUGCUCCUGGAUUCAGCGGCGGACGGGUGAGUAAUGCCUAGGAAUCUGCCGGGUAGUGGGGUAUAACGUCCGGAAACGGGCGCUAAUACCGCAUACGUCCUGAGGGAGAAAGUGGGGGAUCUUCGGACCUCACGCUAUCAGAUGAGCCUAGGUCGGAUUAGCUAGUUGGUGGGGUAAAGGCCUACCAAGGCGACGAUCCGUAACUGGUCUGAGAGGAUGAUCAGUCACAUUGGAACUGAGACACGGUCCAGACUCCUACGGGAGGCAGCAGUGGGGAAUAUUGGACAAUGGGCGAAAGCCUGAUCCAGCCAUGCCGCGUGUGUGAAGAAGGUCUUCGGAUUGUAAAGCACUUUAAGUUGGGAGGAAGGGCAGUAAGUUAAUACCUUGCUGUUUUGACGUUACCAACAGAAUAAGCACCGGCUAACUUCGUG